GCGCCGGUGGUGUAAUGGUUUUGCAUACGCUCCCGGGAAGAAUGAGAUAUGGGUUCGAAUCCCGGCUGACACA